rnacentral:tRNA from 1 species
GGGGUCGUUGUCUAGCUUGGUUUAGGAUGCCAGCCUGGGGCGCUGGAGCUCGUGGGUUCAAAUCCCACCGACCCCA